UGCCUACGGGACGCAGCAGUGAGGAAUAUUGGUCAAUGGCCGAGAGGCUGAACCAGCCAAGUCGCGUGAGGGAUGACGGCCCUACGGGUUGUAAACCUCUUUUGUCGGGGAGCAAGACCCGCCUCGUGCAGGCGGAGCGAGAGUACCCGAAGAAAAAGCAUCGGCUAACUCCGUGCCAGCAGCCGCGGUAAUACGUAGGGGGCAAGCGUUAUCCGGAUUUACUGGGUGUAAAGGGAGCGUAGACGGCCAGACAAGUCUGAAGUGAAAAUCCAGCGCUUAACGUUGGAAGUGCUUUGGAAACUGCC
rnacentral:rRNA from 1 species